rnacentral:rRNA from 1 species
AUAAUAUACUUGAUGUUGAUUUUCCACGUGGAUAACUGUGGUAAUUCUAGAGCUAAUACAUGCACCAAAGCUCUGAUUUUUUGACGAGCGCAUCUAUUAGACCAAAAACCAAUCGAGAUUAUUCGUGCAUUCGUGCGCGAACUUCUCGUAACUUUGGUGACUCUGAAUAGCUUAGCUGAUCGCAUGGUCUCGCACCGGCGACAUAUCUAUCAAGUGUCUGCCUUAUCAACUUUCGAUGGUAGUUUAUAUGCCUACCAUGGUUGUAACGGGUAACGGAGAAUAAGGGUUCGACUCCGGAGAGGGAGCCUGAGAAACGGCUACCACAUCCAAGGAAGGCAGCAGGCGCGCAAAUUACCCACUCUCAGCACGAGGAGGUAGUGACGAAAAAUAACGAGACCGUUCUCUUCGAGGCCGGUUAUCGGAAUGAGUACAACUUAAAGCCGUUAAUAAGGAUCUAUGAGAGGGCAAGUCUGGUGCCAGCAGCCGCGGUAAUUCCAGCUCUCAAAGUGUAUAUCGUCAUUGCUGCGGUUAAAAAGCUCGUAGUUGGAUUUAAGCUCGAUGACUUGGUCCGUCCAUGGGAUGAGAACUGAGCUCAUCGGCUAAUUUUGCUGGUUUUGUUUAGGUAGCCUUAAUCGGUUGCCUAGGCUGACUAGCGAGUUUACUUUGAAAAAAUUAGAGUGCUCAACGCGGGCUUAAUGCCUGAAUAGUCGUGCAUGGAAUAAUGGAAUAGGAUCUCGGUUCUAUUUUGUUGGUUUUCUGAUCUGAGAUAAUGGUUAAGAGGGACAGACGGGGGCAUUCGUAUCGCUGCGUGAGAGGUGAAAUUCUUGGACCGUAGCGAGACGCCCGACUGCGAAAGCAUUUGCCAA